GCCAAGGGAAUAGUUGGGUAAACUUUUGAGAGACUACAUUUCUCUGUAUUCCAGACUGACCAGAAGCUUAAUUAACAUCGCCACCCACACCUGAUGCUCACACAAGCAGGCCUGACAAGGAGGCUAGACCCGAGCUUGGUGGAAGCAGGUCUGGCAGCUGCAGAUUGGAGAGGACUCUCCUGUUGCCCAUAGGCAAGGUUGAAUAUUCCCUGGAGGAACUCAGGAGGAUCCAUGGGUGAGGUGCAGCUGGUGGAGUCCGGAGGAGGUGUGAAAUACUCGGGGGAAUCUUUACAUCUCUCAUGCCAGACCUCAGGGUUCGACUUUGGCAGCUAUGCUAUGAACUGGUAUCGGGACGCUCCAGGAAAGUCCCGUGAGUUUGUCGCCAGCAUCAUUGACUGGUAUUAUAUAAAGUAUGCAGAUGAAGUGAAGGGACGAUUCACCAUCUCCAGGGACAACGCCAAAAGCCAGCUCUACCUGCAGAUGGACAGUCUGAGAGUGGAGGACACGGCCCGGUAUAUCUGCCACGUUCACAGUGAGGGGACGCAGGGCGGUAGCUUCAACUCCUCCAGAGUCUUGUCUGCUUGACUUCAAACUUCCAGGGAUCCUCUCCAUUCUCUCCUUGUGAACUGGAUCCAUCCAGGUACAGCACAAGUUGUCCCCUUUUCCUCCUCUCCCAGACAGACCAACUCUUUUCCCCUUGUCUCAAGAUGGCCCCUGUUCUCCUUUUUCUUUCCAACAUGCCCUCCUCUCCAUCCCCAGUCCUUCUUUCUGGUUGUUAGGUUAACACUUCAGGGAGAAGUACCAAGGAGUGACAUCCUCCUCCCUCUGGCAUCCUCCUCCUUCUCUUAAGUGUGGUAGCCAAUGGAACUGACUGCCACAAGCACUUUCCAACCUUCCAAUGGGCACUCCCUUAUCUUGGUGUUGUGAAUUUGGAGAACAAAAAUUCCUUGUUGCACUGACCACCCCCUUGAGAAUUUUGGCUUUGGCAUCCACACACUCUCCAAAGAUGAAGGCCAGAAACAACAGCCUUAGCCUGUGUCAUCCUCUUCAAGUUCAGAAGACAACUAUUUACAAACAUAUUUAUUAAUAAAAACCUGUAGUUGAUGCACCUCCACACUACAUACACAAGCCAUGUGUGUGUUAUGUGUCUAUGUAUUCCUUGUGUUACUGUAGAAUGGAAGGGAAUAAAGGAAACUGUAAGAGAAAUGCUACUGAAAAAAUUAAUGGGAGAAACAGUCAAUCCUAGCAAUGAAAAGAAAGGAUUGAGUUAAUUACUGUCAGGUUCAUCUGUCAGGCUCCUUACAUUCAUCAUUAUCAGUUUGGAAUCUUUCUCUUUCUUUUGCUUUAUUAAUGUGUGCAGAGAAUGCAUUUUGUGUCCUUCCGUGUACUUCAUGUAAUUAAUAAAGAAUGAGAUUAUUUUA